rnacentral:rRNA from 1 species
AUUGAACGCUGGCGGCAUGCCUUACACAUGCAAGUCGAACGGUAACAGGUCUUCGGAUGCUGACGAGUGGCGAACGGGUGAGUAAUACAUCGGAACGUGCCCAGACGUGGGGGAUAACGAGGCGAAAGCUUUGCUAAUACCGCAUACGAUCUAAGGAUGAAAGCAGGGGACCGCAAGGCCUUGUGCGUUUGGAGCGGCCGAUGGCAGAUUAGGUAGUUGGUGGGAUAAAAGCUUACCAAGCCGACGAUCUGUAGCUGGUCUGAGAGGACGACCAGCCACAAUGGGACUGAGAAACGGCCCCGAAUCCUACGGGAGGCAGCAGUGGGGAAUUUUGGACAAUGGGCGAAAGCCUGAUCCAGCAAUGCCGCGUGCAGGAUGAAGGCCUUCGGGUUUUAAACUGCUUUUGUACGGAACGAAAAGGCUCUGGCUAAUACCUGGGGCACAUGACGGUACCGUAAGAAUAAGCACCGGCUAACUACGUG